rnacentral:tRNA from 1 species
GGGCGGAUGUAGCCAAGUGGAUUAAGGCGGUGGAUUGUGAAUCCACCAUCUGCGA